rnacentral:rRNA from 1 species
UUCCGGUUGAUCCCGCCGGAGGUCACUGCUAUCGGGGUUCGAUUAAGCCAUGCGAGUCGAGAGGGUUCGGCCCUCGGCGUACUGCUCAGUAACACGUGGAUAACCUGCCCUAGGGAAGGGGAUAACCCCGGGAAACUGGGGAUAAUACCCUAUAGAUUACAGAUGCUGGAAUGCCCUGUAAUCCAAAGUUCCGACGCCCUAGGAUGGAUCUGCGGCCGAUUAGGUUGUUGUUGGGGUAAUGGCCCAACAAGCCCGUAAUCGGUACGGGUUGUGGGAGCAAGAGCCCGGAGUUGGAUUCUGAGACACGAAUCCAGGCCCUACGGGGCGCAGCAGGCGCGAAAACUUUACAAUGCGGGCAACCGUGAUAAGGGAACCUCGAGUGCCUGUAAAUGCAGGCUGUUCAGGUGCCUAAAACACACCUGAAGAAAGGGCCGGGCAAGACCGGUGCCAGCCGCCGCGGUAAUACCGGCGGCUCGAGUGGUGGCCGCUUUUAUUGGGCUUAAAGCGUUCGUAGCUGGGUUGUUAAGUCUCUUGGGAAAUCUGGCGGCUUAACCGUCAGGCGUCUAAGGGAUACUGGCAAUCUUGGAACCGGGAGAGGUGAGGGGUACUUCGGGGGUAGGAGUGAAAUCUUGUAAUCCCUGUGAGACCAUCUGUGGCGAAGGCGUCUUACCAGAACGGGUUCGACGGUGAGGGACGAAAGCUGGGGGCACGAACCGGAUUAGAUACCCGGGUAGUCCCAGCCGUAAACUAUGCGCGUUAGGUGUAUCGGUGACCACGAGUUACCGAGGUGCCGAAGGGAAACCGUGAAACGUGCCGCCUGGGAAGUACGGUCGCAAGGCUGAAACUUAAAGGAAUUGGCGGGGGAGCACCACAACAGGUGGAGCCUGCGGUUUAAUUGGACUCAACGCCGGGAAGCUCACCGGAUAAGACAGCAGAAUGAUUGCCGGGCUGAAGACCUUGCCUGAAUCGCUGAGAGGAGGUGCAUGGCC